CGGCGUCCUCCAGAGCCCAGCGCCUAGUAAGGAGCUUGUACUGGUAAAGGCAGCUAGUUGUAUUACUUAGGAAAAUAUGUUUUCUUUUCAUCCUUUUUUGACAGGUUAUAGAAUUCGAAGUGAAGUUUAUCCUCAGCAUUUGGGAUAUUAUUCUGUGCUUCUCUCUUACAAACUGCCUCACCGAGUUUGUUUACAUGUUUACUCGCCUAUCUUCUUCUCUCACCCCUUCCAUUCGGUGCAAACUCCAUCAUCUUGCAGGAAGCAGAAAAAGAAAGUGUCGACGUCGAGAAAGAUCAAGGACUGCUGCCUGCCCCUUGUACACCAGUGGAGUGUCGCUCCAGGACCUUGCUUCAGAUGCGUAAGUUCCUCCAUGUAUUAGCCAUUAUUGAUGUCUGUCACGAACUCUGGACCUUUUCUUUGUGCUUGAAACUGGCCAGGUAUCGGCCUCGCAGGCCUCUGAGGUGCAGCCCAGCAUUUGGCAGAGGAGCUAGAAGGCCGAGGAAAUGCCUGUGAGCUCCCCGAUGUUGGGAAAUAAGGGCAGGGAAUUAUAGGUGUUGUCCACUAACAUGUGGGGCCUGAAAUUUGUGGGGGAAAUCCCAGGGUGGCUGUCUUUGAUAAAUGGGGGUCCCCAACAGAAAACAAACAAUUCAUAGGUUCCUGAAGCUGUUGCAGAGAUAUUGGCCAUCAUGAUAGUGGGAAACAAGAAGUUGGAAAUAAAGCGGUUGGGGCACAGCUGUGGGCUGCCCUUUGCUUUUUAUGUUGAGAAAGGCCACAGAGGCUGAGGUAAUAGCCAGGGUGAGGGUUAAUUUGGAUGCUGAUAGUCGUUCUUGUGAUAGUGAAGCAUGUGAAUGAGAGUAAAUGAAAUGUAUUAUUGUCUAUUACUGUUAUUUGUUUCAACUGAAUUGUCUCUUUUAAAUUUUGUUUUUAUUGAAGUAUAGUUAAUUUACAAUGUUUCAGGUAUACAACAAAGCGAUUCAGUUAUAUACACAUAUAUGUGCAUAUAUAUGUAUGUAUUCUCUUCCAGAUUAUUUCCCUUUAUAUGUUGUUAUAAGAUGCGGAGUAUAGUUCCCUGUGCUAUAAAGUAGGUUCUUGUCGUUUAUCUAUUUUAUAUAUAGUAGUGUGUAUCUGUUAAUCCCAAAUUCUUAAUUUAUCCCUCCUUCCACUUUCCACUUUGGCAGCCAUAAAUAAAUUUGUUUUCUAAGUCUGUGAAUCUAUUUAUGUUUUGUAAAUGAGUUCCUUUGUAUCAUUUUUUAAGAUUCUAUAUAUAAGUUACAUGAUAUUUCUCUUUCUCAAUAUGAUUUACUUCACUUAGUAUGAUAAUCUCUAAUUCGUCCAUGUUGCUGCAAAUGGCAUUAUUUCAUUCUUAUAUAUGGCUGCGUAAUAUUCCAUUAUACAUAUACACUACAUCUUCUUCAUCCAUUCAUCCAUCAGUGGACAUUUAGAUUGUUUCCAUGUCUUGGCUAUUGUGAAUAAUGCUGCUGUGAACACUGGAAUACAUAGAGCUUUUCAAAUUAGGGUUUUCAUCUUUUCAGGAUAUAUGCCUGGGCGUGGAAUACCAGAUCAUACGGUAACUCUAUUUUUAGUUUUUAAGGACUCUUCGCACUGUUUUCCAUAGUGGCUGCACCAAUUAUAUUCCCAACAGCAGUGUGGAAGCGUUCCCUUUUCUCCACGCCCUCUCUAGCAUUUCUUAUUGGUAGACUUUUUAAUGAGGCCAUUCUGCCCUGAAUGAGGUGAUGCAUUCAUUGAAGUUUUGAUUUGCAUUUGUGUUUCUUAAAAUCUUAAAUUCUUAUUUUGCAAUGUUGAACAUCUUUUCAUGUGCCUGUUAGUCACCUGUAUGUGUCCUUUGGAGAAAUGUCUAUUUAGAUCUUCUGACUGGGUUGUUAGUUUAUUUUUUACAUUGAGCUGUAUAAGCUGUUUAUAUAUUUUAGAAAUUAAUCCCUGUUGGUUACAUCAUCUGCAAAUAUUUUCUCCCAUUUUUUGGGCUGCCUUUUCAUUUUGUUUAUGGUUUCCUUCUCUGUGCAAAAGUUAAGUUUAAUUAGGUCCCAUUUGUUUAUUUUUGCUUUUGUUUCCAUUAUCUAGGAGAAAGAUCCAAAAAUAUAGUGCUGUGAUUUAUGUCGAGGAGUGUUCUGCCUAUGAUUUCCUCUAGGAAUUUUAUAGUAUCUGGUCUUAUAUUUAGGUCUUUAAUCCCUUUUGAAUUUAUUUUUGUAUAUGGUGUUAAAGAAUGUUUUCAUUUCAUUCUUUGUCACAGAGUUGUCCUGUUUUCCUAGCACCACUUAUUGAAGAAACUGUCUUUUCUGUGGUGUAUAUUCUUGCCUCCUUUGUCAUAGAUUAAUAGGCCAUAGCAUGGGUUUAUUUCUGGGCUUUCUAUCACAGAAAGAUGUAUAUUUCUGUUUUUGUGCCAGUACCAUAAUGUUUUGAUUACUUUAGCUUUGUAGUAUAGUCUGAAGCCAGGGAUCCUGAUUCCUCCAGUUCUGUUUUUAUUUUUCAAUAUUGCUUUAGCUAUUUGUGGUCUUUGGUGUUUCUAUACAAAUUAAAAAAAUAUUUUGUUCCUGUUCUGUGAAAAAUGCCAUUGGUAAUUUGAUAGGCAUUGUAUUGGAUCUGAAGAUUGCCUUGGGUAGUUAGGUCAUUUUAACAAUAUUGAUUCUUCCAAACUAAGAACACAGUAUAUCUUUCCAGCUGUUUGUGAACUGGCUACUUAGAAACUGAAAAAAAAAAAAAAAAAAAAA
rnacentral:lncRNA from 1 species